rnacentral:rRNA from 1 species
UACGUAGGGGGCAAGCGUUAUCCGGAUUUACUGGGUGUAAAGGGAGCGUAGACGGCGCGGCAAGUCUGAAGUGAAAGGCAGGGGCUUAACCCCUGAACUGCUUUGGAAACUGCCAUGCUGGAGUGCCGGAGAGGUAAGCGGAAUUCCUAGUGUAGCGGUGAAAUGCGUAGAUAUCAGGAGGAACACCGGCGGCGAAGGCGGCCUGCUGGACUGAAACUGACGUUGAGGCUCGAAAGCGUGGGGAGCAAACAGG